rnacentral:rRNA from 1 species
GAUGAACGCUGGCGGCGUGCCUAAUACAUGCAAGUCGAGCGAACGGACGAGAAGCUUGCUUCUCUGAUGUUAGCGGCGGACGGGUGAGUAACACGUGGAUAACCUACCUAUAAGACUGGGAUAACUUCGGGAAACCGGAGCUAAUACCGGAUAAUAUUUUGAACCGCAUGGUUCAAAAGUGAAAGACGGUCUUGCUGUCACUUAUAGAUGGAUCCGCGCUGCAUUAGCUAGUUGGUAAGGUAACGGCUUACCAAGGCAACGAUGCAUAGCCGACGUGAGAGGGUGAUCGGCCACACUGGAACGUGGACACGGUCCAGACUCCUACGGGAGGCAGCAGAAGGGAAUCGUCCGCAAUGGGCGAAAGCCUGACGGAGCAGCGCCGCGUGAGUGAUGAAGGUCUUCGGAUCGUAAAACUCUGUUAUGAGGGAAGAACAUAUGUGUAAGGAACUGUGCACAUCUUGACGGUACCUAGUCAGAAAGCCACGGCUAACUACGUG